GAUGAAGAACGUAGCGAAAUGCGAUACGUAAUGUGAAUUGCAGAAUUCAGUGAAUCAUCGAAUCUUUGAACGCAUAUUGCGCUCUCUGGUAUUCCGGAGAGCAUGCUUGUUUGAGUAUCAGUAAACACCUCAACUUCCAUAUCUUUUUUGAAAUGGGAGUUGGACUUGAGUGAUCCCAACGCUUUUCCUCACCGAAAAGUGGCGGGUUACUUGAAAUGCAGGUGCAGCUGGACUUUUCUCUGAGCUAUAAGCAUAUCUAUUUAGUCUGCCUAAAAAACAGAUCAUUACCUUUGCUGCAGCUAACAUAAAGGAGAUUAGUUCUUGUGCUGACUGAUGCAGGAUUCACAAAGACAGGCUUCGGCCGACUUUGUAAACUCGAUCUCAAAUCAAGUAAGACUACCCGCUGAACUUAAGCAUAUCAAAAGCGGAGGA
rnacentral:misc_RNA from 1 species